AUGGGGAGCGGCGGACGGGUGAGUAACGCGUGGGAACAUACCCCAGACUGAGGGAUAAGCACCAGAAAUGGUGUCUAAUACCGCAUAACCUCUACGGAGAAAAGCUUCGGCGGUUUGGGAAUGGCCUGCGUAAGAUUAGCUAGUUGGUGAGGUAAAGGCUUACCAAGGCGAUGAUCUUUAGCUGGUUUGAGAGGAUGAUCAGCCACACUGGAACUGAGACACGGUCCAG
rnacentral:rRNA from 1 species